rnacentral:sRNA from 1 species
GCUGGGUGGGGUGGAGCAUGCCUAUAAUCCCAGCUACCCUGGAGGCUGAGGCAGGAGGAUUGCAAAAUCAAGGAUUGCUCUGGGGUGCAACUCCUGCCUGGC